AACUACCUACGGGGCGCAGCAGUGGGGGAUAUUGCACAAUGGGGGAAACCCUGAUGCAGCGACGCCGCGUGGGCGAAGAAGUAUUUCGGUAUGUAAAGCCCUAUCAGCAGGGAAGAAGAAAUGACGGUACCUGAGUAAGAAGCACCGGCUAAAUACGUGCCAGCAACCGCGGUAAUACGUAUGGGGCAAGCGUUAUCCGGAUUUACUGGGUGUAAAGGGAGCGUAGACGGCUGUGCAAGCCAGAUGUGAAAGCCCGGGGCUCAACCCCGGGACUGCAUUUGGAACUGUGUGGCUGGAGUGUCGGG
rnacentral:rRNA from 1 species